rnacentral:tmRNA from 1 species
GGGGACGAAAUUGGUUUCGACGGGGAUACAGAAGCUGGAUAAGCGAGCUGUUGCGCUGAACAACAUAAAAAGUGGCAAACUAAAUUUAAACGCAGAAGAUAAUAAUUUUGCAUUCGCAGCCUAAAUAGGCUGCUGCUCCUGCCGGUAGCCCUGCAUGCCGGUCUGUGAGUAUCAUUAAUGGCAGGCAACUAUACUAGGGAUUCUCAGACCUAAUAUAGUAUAACUUGAGAUAGCUAUGUGUAGGUUUGUUUCCUUUACUGCAUGUAGUGACAAAUUAAAGGAAACUGCGCUCGGAGAAAUUCCUGUGAAAGUAUUCUCGGACGUGGGUUCGACUCCCACCGUCUCCACCA